ACGCGGCAGGCAGCAGGCUCUGGGGCAGCGCCCCCUCCCCUGCCAGACUCCUGGGGCCCCGUGCCAACGCUGGAGGGCUGAGGUGGGUUACCCCAGUGUGGGGUGUUGGCGCUGGUGCAGUCCAGCCAGGACGUGGAGGGGCGGCCCCCCCUGGGCCUCACUCGCUGUGUCCUUUUGUCCACAGGCGCCAGAGGGGCCCGACCGCCUGCGGGCUGCAUCAGUCCCAGCUGUGGGGGACGGAGCCCCUGGCUCUGGCCUCUUCCUUCUGACCAGGGCCCCGGCUCCCUCCAGGAGGAUGCUCGGUCUCCCUUCGGUCCACCUUCUGGCCCUGCUUGCGGAUUCACCAUCCCUGGCAUCCGCACUGUCCUCCUGCCAGGACUAAGUCACCAGGGCCUGUCCUGCGGGUGGCUGCCCAAGGAGCCAGCCAGCUGCAGGACAAGAGAGAUUGGAAAGCACAUGCAGACCUUUCUCCUUGUCGUCCCCCAGACGUCGGAGUUUAGCGACUGUUUACACAGGUGCAGUGCUGGUCUGUACGGGAUCCAGAGAGGACUUAAAAUCCAGAGGCUGUGAGAAGCACCGCCGUAAGAGCACCCGCGAAUCUGGGCUCUGCAAGGAGGGGGCGCCUGGAACCAGUCUCCCCAGCCGCCCCCUGAUGGCUGUGUGCAGUUUCAAGGGACACAAAGGUUCCUGUGGCCCAGUGUGGACGGGCUGGGGUCUCCGCAGGGCUCCGGCAUUGGGGUGGCCUGGGGUGCACACAGCAGUGCGCGGGCCAGGGCUGAGAGGCUGGGGGAGCACCCCCGGGGGAAGCAGCCCGUUCCUGUACCAGGAUGUGGCCCUGCGUGAGCGGGUGUGGCUGGGCGUUGGCACCGCAUGAGCUCUGAGCCCGGCUGGCGAGUGCGGAGUCUUUGUGGUUCGUGGUUCGAGGCUCUGAGCCUUUCUCCCUCUCCGUGGCAUCCUGGACAUGAAGCAGAUGGGAGGUUUUCCCACACCGUGAAGUUAGGGCACAGUGCUCAGGAUCCCAGACAGGGCCUCGGCAUCAACCUACCGGCUAUGCCUCAGGUCCCACACCUGUGACCGUCCCCGCCAGGCUGAGGGGGACACACAUCACAGCCAGAGGACCUGUUGUGUGCAGGCUGACAUGUGGGCCGCAGCUGUGAUCCGUGGGGACAUGGCAGUGGCCGCUGGACUGCUUGGGCACCGCACAUCCACCUGGUUGGCAGUGUACCCCUUCUGGUGCCUUUGCAGAUAAGUAACAGCAGCUCCGGAGUGCUCUUUCCUGAGGGUCUUCAGUUGUGCUGUCCUGGUUGCCUUGAUGUCCCGAAUGGACUGGAAAUGUCUAUCUUUCGUGGUCAUUUUGACUCUGGUGGGGAAUGAGCUGGUCAUCACAUGGCUCUAAUCAAACUGCACAGGCACCAGAUGCCCAGACAUCUGGUUAGACAUUCUUCCGGUCCUGUGUGUGCAUAGAUGUUCUGACUGAGGCCAGCGUUUGAAUAAGAUGGGGCCAAGUGGAUGCCAUCCAGCCUGGAGCCCCUUCCAAUCUUCUGACAGAGAGGAGCUGCACCUGCAGGACUGCUGGGUAGGGGGUCUGCUCUGUGCCUCUGUCUCAAGAGGGCAGCUGCUCCGUCUCUCCCGGGGGUCUGCUUUACCAGCUGCAGAUGUUGGGCCUCCUCUUGAACUCUCUAUGGAACCCAGGCUGGCUUCAAACUCACAGCGAUCCUCCUGCCUCAGCCUCCUGAGUGCUGGAUUACAGGUGUGUGCCUUCGCACCUGGCUUAAUAAUGAUUCCUUAAGAGCCAACUACAAUCUGUGUGAAAUUACCACGCGUGACAACAGUGACUCAAAAGGCAGAAGGGCAUGAGUGUGGACAGAAUGACAGGAGCUCUUAGUUUCAUUUGGGAAGUGGUGAGAGAAUGGAUAUAACUUUCGCUAGAUGGUUCAAAGUCAAGGGUGCAUGUUAUGACCCACAGAGACACGGAGAAUGCUGAACUCCUGGGCCAGCAGGGGAAAAUGCCAGAAUCAUAGAAUUAAUGGAGCUUAAGAUGGGCAAGGAGGUAGGGAAAACACUACACGAAGCCUGGACAGACAGAGGACCAUUUCUGAUAGAUACAAACCCAAACACAUUAGUAAAGGCGGAUGGUCAGGCAAGUGUUCCCAAAGCAGAAGUUAUUGAACGGUGGGCUCACGGCGGGCUCAUGGUACACAGUUCCAUGUUGUGUGUGACAGCCUUGCCUGACAGACACAAAGCCACGGAGAGGCUGACGUGGAAAGAUUGGAAGGUUGUUUGGGAAAACACGGAGCAAAGCAGAGGGGUCUUGUGAUGCUGUUGGCCAGGACAAGCUCGUAAGCCAGAGGCCUCACCAGGAAUAAAGAGGGACCUUUCAUAAUAGCAAAAGACUUGCAGCCCCAGAAAGCCAGGACCGACUUCUAGUCACCUAAUAUCUCGCCCCAAAAUAUGUGCAGGAAAAAUGGCUAGAAUAAAA